AAAAAUGCUUUAUUUCAUUUUUAGCUUUUCUGUUUUGAAGAAAAAGUUAAGCUGUUAUGAUCACUGCUUUCUCUUUAUUGUUUUCAUGGUGUGAAAACUUUAAGAAAACAUCGAGCCCCUGUGUAAAUGUAUCACAGCUGGAUUUUUUGCCAAUGCAGCCAAGUAUGAUCCUCAAGGUGGUUACAGGACAGUCCGAGAUGAUCAUUCCUUGUAUAUACACCCAACAUCAGUUCUAUAUACUGAACAUCCCCCAAAAUGGGUUGUUUUUAAUGAGGUUGUACAGACAAGCAAGGAUUAUAUGAGAGAUGUUACAGUUAUCAAUCCAGACUGGUUGUGUGAACUUGCUCCAGAUUUCUACCAGUUUGGAACAGAGAGAGAGAUAGCAGCAAAGAGAUUCAAACAAGAUGAACUGGGCUGAUAGUUUCCAACAGAACCUGUAAUUUUACCACAAUAACUUGAUUAAAGUUUUCAUGAAAAGUUGGCAAUAUUUGUUUCAA